ACGGGAGGCAGCAGUGAGGAAUAUUGGUCAAUGGACGAGAGUCUGAACCAGCCAAGUAGCGUGCAGGAUGACGGCCCUAUGGGUUGUAAACUGCUUUUGUAUGGGAAUAAAGUGAGGGUCGUGACCCUUUUUGUAUGUACCUUACGAAUAAGCAUCGGCUAAUUCCGUGCCAGCAGCCGCGGUAAUACGGAAGAUGCGAGCGUUAUCCGGAUUUAUUGGGUUUAAAGGGAGCGUAGGCGGACCUUUAAGUCUGUGGUCAAAUGUCAGGGCCCAACCUUGGCAUGCCAUGGAAACUGUAGGUCUUGAAUACACACAAGGAAGGUGGAAUUCGUCGUGUAGCGGUGAAAUGCUUAGAUAUGACGAAGAACUCCGAUUGCGAAGGCAGCCUUCUGGAGUGCGAUUGACGCUGAGGCUCGAAAGUGCGGGUAUCAAACAGGAUUAGAUACCCUGGUA
rnacentral:rRNA from 1 species